CCAGCACUGGGCAGGUUUCUAGGAGGGGGGUUUUACUCCAGGACUGAUGAGUAGACUUUCUUAGUCUGCCUGAAACAAGGCCUGGGGGAAGAAGGUCAGAGGAGAUGGUUGCCUGGGGAAGAGACCAGCAGGUCACUGUUUGCCUCUGAAGACCGGGUUAACAGCCUUUGGUGAAAACCCCAACUACGGAACUUCGGUCCCCGGGGCUGCUGAGCCCUAAUACGAUUACACAUCUAAAUGCAAUAAACGGGGCAAAGUGGUAUUAUU